UGGGGCUGCUUGAGACGGGACACAGCUCUGCCUCCCCAAGAAGCCUGGCCUGAGCCCCUGAGCGUCCACCCUCACCCCCAGGCCUGGCCACCAUGGGCUGUGGGCACAGCUUCCUCGCUUCCCCCUCCCCCUCCCCCUAUGCCGGUCCUUCCAGAUGAGCUCCCAGCGGGAGACCAAGUCUUCCAACCACGGGAGCUGGGCCUGGGACCCGCUCUCCAGGUCAAUCCUUCAUUCGGGAGGAACCCCAACCACCUUCACUUCUCAUGUCUGUCCUGCAAAGAAGCUCCAUGAGGAAAAGCGCUGACAGCUGGAGGCUCCCCCGGCCACAGGAGGCACAGCUGUGGGCGACGUGGUCCCGUGUCCUCGGUCACAGAUCUGCAAUUUGUAACCACAAUCGAAAGAAAUAAUGAUGUAUGAUACCCCAAACCACUGAAUGGCACACUUUCAAGGGGCGGAUUGUAAGCAGCGGCUUUCCCAUCUGGGGAGCCACGGAGCGCCUCAGGGUGGCAGCUCGGUGGGGAGGUGGGCGUGGGGCCCGGGCCCGGGGGUUCGGCCCGUCGGGCAGCAGCCCUGUCCCUUCACACCAGCCCUGAACCUCUGAGCUGUGCUCGGACGUGGCCCAGUGAGUACAGAGCCAUCGGGCACCGCUCUGCUCAUCAGCUGGUACAUCGGGUCCCAGCUCCCCUCCACCCCGCCCACCCCCCUUCUGCUGUCCCGGAGGGAGCCUGCCCGCUGACUCAGGGAGCGGCAAUGGAUGGGCUUCCUGCUGCUUUAAGAAGCCUCCUUCCUCGCCAGCCUCAUUAGAAUGUGACAGAGCAGUUGCCAAGGUAACGGCACUAACCCUCCUCUCUCCUCUCUGCAAAUUUCCUAGCAAAUGAGGCCGGACCCACGCGAGGUGUCCUGUGGCCUGUGCUUGGAGCAGCGGUGGCUGCCUGGCCUCCCCCUCCUCCAGGCGGGCGCUGAGCCCAGCACCCCUCAGCCGCCCCGCCCGGCCUGGCCCUCCCUUCCCGGGCUCCCCCGCCCCACGGUUCUUGUUAAACCGAGGCUCCUGAAUUGAGAACCUACUGUGUGAAGGCCCCCCUCGGGCACCAGCAGCACACGCUUGGAAUCAGGAAGCCACGGGAAGCGAUGAUGGCGAGCCUGGCAUGGGCGUGGGAGCAAAGAGCAAGCUUGGAACCCUCGAGUGGUCCAGCAGGACGGGUGGGGGGACAGGUGACCUGUUCCCCACCCCCUUCGAACCAGGGCAGCCCGAGACCCAGGCAGCCAUGACCCCGAGUCACAGCCAGAGACGGGGCUGAAAUGCAGGACUUCCAGCUGCCAGGUCACCCGCUCUCUGGGACCAGAGCUCACCAGGCCCACGUCCAGGAACCAGUGCCCACAGGGUCCUGGGAGCCGCUGUCCUGCAGAGGGAAGCUGGGGCCUCCGGGCAGGGGGUGGCCCCCGUGUCCCCCUGGCACUGUGGCCCCAGGAGAAGGACCACUUUCCUGCCUCUGGGGUUCCAACCGCCACGUCCACAGCAGUGCCCAUGGCUGUGGGCACCCCCCCCCGAAGCCCGGCUUUCCGAACACGCAGGGCAGGAUGGCACCUUCGAGGGCAGCCGCACCCACAGAGCCCUCUUCCUCCCCUUGCUGGUGGCCGUUAGGUGCUGUCCACCUGCAUCCCGGUUGCCAGCCCUUCCUGGUACCCUCUCCAGCUUCCACUGUGUGACCAGUUGCGUUUUAUUCUGUAUUUGUCUCCCACAUCUCGCUCCUCCCCUGAGGAAGCCCAUCCUUUGCCAUCGGACUGAGAACCUGGACUGACUUUGCAGAACUGCCUGGCCGGUGCCCACGAGCACCGCCUGUCCUUCCAGCAGGACCCGGGGGGCCAGCCUGGGUGCGUGGGAGCCACCUGCACAGCCCCUCUCCCUCGUCAGGAGCCCUGCCCGCCUCUGGCUGCGAGGCCCAGGGUGCUCACCUCGGUCCGUUCCUCUGCGGCCAUCUUGGGGGGACCAGCAUGUUCCCCUGGCCCAGGUCAUUUUGUGAUAAUGGACUCUCCUUUAUCCUGUUAAUUAUGGUAAAUUUCAGUGACUGAUUGUCAAGGGUUAAACCAUCCUUGCUUUCCGGCCUCCACCCUGUGCGGUCAAAUGCUGCUGGAUUCCGGAAACCGCUAGGGACUUUGUGAAGGACUCUCUUGUCGGUGAUCACGCGGGACACUGGUUUGUCGUGGCUGGGUUUUCUUACGACGCCCCUGUCUGUUCUGGUGACAGGGUUCGGCUGGCCUCGCAAAACAGGUGGAGAGGUGGCCCCUUCCCUGUUGUCAUCCGAAAGGGCUUGUGUAAAUCUGAUGUUUUUUCCUCUUGGAAUAGUUGGUAGAAUUCACCGGCGAAAGCAUUUUGGCCUGGACUUUUUCUGGGGGAGCGGGGGGAGGUGAAAAGGAUGGUUUGUUUUGAUUUUACAAAAUAGCUGUAGAGACUUUCGGACUUCCUCUUGUCUAGGGUCCCCUGGAUAGGGAGCCUUCUUCUGGGAAUUCGUCCUUUUAGCUGAAGCUGUCAGAUCUGUUAGCGUAAAGUUAUUCGUGAAUCCUCUUGUGUUUUUGAUCUCCUUGAGCUUAUUGGCAGAUAGUGACUCGUAACGCUUUCUUACUCUCUUGGAAAGAUCUGGAACAGCCACCUGCGUCCUUCCCGAUGUUGACGGUUUGUGCUUUUCUCAUUUUCGUUUCUUGGUCCGUUAAUUGUGUCUAUUUUGUGUCGGUUUCCAAUUUCCUGGACUUGGUGUCCCACCUUUAUUCCCUUCCCCCUCCUACUCACUCCGGGAAAACAGUCGUUUUCUCUUUUCCUGGUGCUCGUCGGUCGUUGCCGAUGCCCCUCAUUCGUCCUGGAGACCCACACCGCGCCCAGCACCCUCCGUCCACCCCGGGGCGCCCUGCAGCUCCCCCGGGGAUCCCGGGCGAGGCUCACUCCGCUGUCCGUCAGGUGACCCGUCCCCUUCUCACUGCCCGAGGCUCCGCCCUUUAUGGAGGCGGGACCCCUGGGUGCGAGCGAUGCCUGUUCCCAGCGAUGGAGGCGCCGCCUUCGGUGCCACCCCUUCCUCAUGGUGGGUGGUUGCCAUCAUCCUGGGCUCCGGUGCGCUGACGAGUCUCUCUCCUCCCCUCUGCUAGCGAGGCCCAUCUGGUGCGUGUGACGCUCACGCUUCAGUUCUCGGUUCUGACAGUUCCGUGUGGCUGCUGUUUACAUGUUCUCUUUCUCCGCUUGAGUUUUUAAUCAUCUCUCCACUCAUCGGGAGGCGCGUGCCUCUCCUCGUGGGCACAGGGCACAUGGCGGCUCCUGUUCUGAUGGGAUCCAGCACCCGGUCCAGCACAGGGUGGUUCCGUGGGGAGGCGUCCGUCUCCCCGACUCCUCGGUGGGCGCACACCUUGCAGACUGUGAUUGCUCUGCGGGGAGACCCUGCAUCUGGGCACCGGUCCAGGGGGCUGGCACCAGCAGGCAGCUGCUUCGGCAGCCCCCACCUGCAGCCCGAGUCCCGCCUGUGACCCCAGGACCCAGCUCUCAGCCCGCCUGCUCCUGUGCGGCUCCCUUCGCACCCAGGGCUCUCCAUCCAGCUGGAGUCCCAGCGCCCUCGGCGCUCACACACAAUGUGGCCCCGUCCUGCUCCUCCCGCGGCUUCCCUCUCCAGG